GUAGGGAAUAUUGGACAAUGGGCGAAAGCCUGAUCCAGCCAUGCCGCAUGAUAGAUGAAGGCCCUCUGGGUUGUAAAUAUCUUUUAUCUGGGAAGAAACUCCUCUAUUCUUAGAGGCCUGACGGUACCAGAGGAAUAAGCACCGGCUAACUCCGUGCCAGCAGCCGCGGUAAUACGGAGGGUGCAAGCGUUAUCCGGAUUCACUGGGUUUAAAGGGUGCGUAGGCGGGUUGAUAAGUCAGUGGUGAAAGCUCCGGGCUUAACUUGGAAACUGCCAUUGAUACUGUCAGUCUUGAAUGUCGUAGAGGUAAGCGGAAUGUUGCAUGUAGCGGUGAAAUGCUUAGAUAUGUUACAGAACACCAAUUGCGAAGGCAGCUUACUAUGCGAUAAUUGACGCUGAGGCACGAAAGCGUGGGGAGCAAACAGGAUUAGAUACCCGGGUAGUCC
rnacentral:rRNA from 1 species